rnacentral:lncRNA from 1 species
UCGCAACUAAGGUCAUAUUGUGGACCUCCAAGAUAUUGCGAUAUCUCUAAUGGUAAAGACAUAACCAUUAUGGGACGUGCUUUGUGCAGGUUUGGUAAGUAACCAGCAUUAGCAUAACAAACAAGGCAAGUAUCAUUCCGUGGAUCAAGGAGGUCGGAUCCGCUCAAGAUGCAUUAGGAUUUGUGCAGCCCUUUUGUCUUAGUUUUCUUAUGUUUGUGAACCGGAUUUCAUCUCCUCUCCGCUUGUACAUCAUGUCGUUGAUGUUUUUGUUUCACCGUGAAUUAUGUGAGUUUUGUAAACAAUAAUUGGAAGCUCUUG